UUCCGGCUAGUAUAUCGGAUAGUACACACGCCUGUCACGCGUGAAAGCGGGGUUCGACUCCCCGGCCGGAAG
rfam:Sistotremastrum niveocremeum HHB9708 unplaced genomic scaffold SISNIscaffold_40, whole genome shotgun sequence.